GAUGAAGAACGUAGCGAAAUGCGAUAAGUAAUGUGAAUUGCAGAAUUCAGUGAAUCAUCGAAUCUUUGAACGCACCUUGCACCCUUUGGCAUUCCGAAGGGUAUGCUCGUUUGAGUGUCAUUGUACUCUCACACUCCCACUCUUUUGGAUUGGGAGCGGUGGACUUGGGUGUUGCUGCUUCACUGUGGCUCGCCUCAAAUGGAGUAGUGCAACUCUCGGUUGAACAUAGUACGGCGUGAUAAGUGUCUUCGCCGGCGCCUCACUAGAGGGUGGCCGAUCGGGAGCUCUGUGCUUCAAACCGUCUUCGGACAAUCUCUGACAACUUGACCUCAAAUCGAGUAGGACUACCCGCUGAACUUAAGCAUAUCAAUAAGCGGAGGA
rnacentral:misc_RNA from 1 species